rnacentral:lncRNA from 1 species
AUGAUGAGCCGGAAGAUUGGAACAGAUUGGCAGACUUACUUUGAGGUUAAGCAGAGCAAAAAGUCAGAGGCUGAGAAAGAAACUAGAUUGAAUCAUACAACUUUGUGAAGAGUUUGAGUCAGAACUAGCCACCAAGAGCUCAGAAAUCGCAAGGAAGGGUUGAGAUUGUUCAGACCCAUGUAUAAGAGGAAGAACACAUUCUAGGCAUUGAGUAGAUUUUAGGAAGGCUAGAAGCUACCAGGGCAAGGCCUGAGUAAGCAAACUGAGGCAUGAGGCCUCAGAGACAACAAAGGCAGCAGGCAAAUAACAGGUAUGUUUUUAAAGACAGAUUGUGCUCAAAAUUCAAGCAAAAGUCAGACCCCUUUGGACCAAAACUGCAAUGACCAUGAAGUGGUUUUACUGACAAAAAGCACUUCCCUCAGCAAGCACAUUUGAGUACAGCACCUGGCAGCAAUGUCUUUGAUGGGACUCAGAGGUACUGUGCAGUUUUACACAAUGGAGCCUGAGAUCAGGAAACAAGGGGUUACCUUGAAUUUCUCUUCUCAGAUUAAUUACCUCAUUACAGUUGAGUUGUGCUUACCUCAGAUUUUUUUAGACAAGGAGUGAAAGAGAAACUCUUUGUCAAAACCUAAGAAGAGUGGGUUCUGGCAAACUUGUGAGACCUUCUUCAUAUAUGAAAGAGUUAUGCUUACAUUGAAAAUGUAGUGUUUACUGUCUACACUUCUUUGGCAUUCUGGUCUUCUGCUAUCCUACCAAUCAAGCACUAAAAUGUGGGUGUGUGUGACUUUGAAGGAAUUCUCUAGUCUUUAGGGUCUUGGAAUCUCUAGCUUGUUCACAUCAUAGUGAACCAUGAAUCAAAUAACAAAUGUAGAACCAUGGUUGAACUUUUUCCUUCAAAGACAUGCUACUACAGCUUCGCAAUGUCAUCACUGGCUUUCAGGGUAGGGCAUUGACCCCUGGUGCCUUCUCUUACAUAGACAUAGUUUAAGAAUUGUGGACAAAGAUAAACUGUAGGGUUAGUGAGGUGAAUCGGUGGUUAAGAGCACUUGGUACUAUACGGAGGAACCAUGUUUGUCUACAGCAGAGAGAUAACAAUUCUCAACUGUGGAUAUUUAAGAAAAAAACAGCUCUUGUCUUUAAGGAAAUAGAAGAGAAAUAUUUCUGGAACCAUUGGGAACAUAUUCUGGGAACACAGAACAGACUUAGAAACACAAAAUGCUACAUUUCAAUAUGCAAACAGGUUCACAGAAUUUUUUUCAUGUGCAAAUCAAGAAAUUCAUAAAUCAAGGAAACUUAAAAAUACAUUGGUAGGUUCACAAAAAAGAAACUUCCAGCAAGAUGUGGAAAACCAUUCUGGAGAUAUAAGAUACUAUCUAAUGAUGCUCUUGGCUCUUGGACUAGAGGAAGUUAAUGUUCUGCUAAGUGAAUAGAUUCUAGUGUAAUCGCUGAAGGAAGACCCCAAAAUCUGAUAGUAUGCAAAAACAAAGAACAUUUAUUCUGUAGAAACAGCCACCAUGGGAUCAUUGUUAAGAAUGGCAAAGCCUAAAGAGACAUUCAAGCUCCUUUUACAACAAAACUGCUUAAUUGCUUUGGAGGUAAUAACAGAGUUCUAAAACUUAGGACACAUUCCACGGGGGUUACAGAAACCAUUAACCAAAGACC